rnacentral:rRNA from 1 species
UACGGGGGGAGCAAGCGUUGUUCGGAUUUACUGGGCGUAAAGGGCGCGUAGGCGGCCACUGCAAGUCAGUUGUGAAAUCUCCGGGCUUAACCCGGAAAGGUCAACUGAUACUGCAGGGCUAGAGUGCAGAAGGGGCAACUGGAAUUCUCGGUGUAGCGGUGAAAUGCGUAGAUAUCGUCUGGAACGCCAAAGGUGAAAACAGACUGCUGGGAGUGUGCUGACGCUGAGACACGAAAGCCAGGGGAGCAAACGGG